GGGGGGGGUUGGUGAAACUGCUUAGGACAGCUGUCCUGAUCGAUCACAGGAGACUCUGGGUGACAACAGCUGGCUAGGCUGACUGUAAGGUGUGAAUGGAAAAAUGAAUGAACUUACCUAUUCUUUAGUACUGCUGUUAAUGAAGAAUGAUCAGCUGUCUUGAGUGACUUCUCAGCAAUGCUGACAAAAACUGAAUUUUCCAAGCACGAGGAUGAGAUCAAAAUGGAUCACAUGGGAUCAGCAAAAUUGAAUUUGCCAGUACUAGAGAUGGGUGUAAGGAUGCUGGUGAGAUCAGAGAGGCUUUUUGGGCAAAGGAGACACAAAGGGCCAGGGAGAAAUUGUGAGCAUUUCAGAGUGAAGGUGGACGGACCAGACUGCAGAGAGG